CCCGGCACAAGCGGUGGAGUAUGUGGUUUAAUUCGAUGCAACGCGAGAACCUUACCUGGUCUUGACAUCCCGGAGACCCUUAGGAAACUAGGGGGUGCUUCCAUCUGGAAGAAUCUGGAGACAGGUGCUGCAUGGCUGUCGUCAGCUCGUGUCGUGAGAUGUUGGGUUAAGUCCCGCAACGAGCGCAACCCUUGCCUUUAGUUGCCAGCAGUUCGGCUGGGCACUCUAAAGGGACUGCCGGUGUUAAACCGGAGGAAGGUGGGGAUGACGUCAAGUCCUCAUGGCCUUUAUGACCAGGGCUACACACGUACUACAAUGGCCGAUACAAAGGGCAGCGACACUGCGAGGUGAAGCCAAUCCCGUAAAAUCGGUCUCAGUCCGGAUUGGAGUCUGCAACUCGACUCCAUGAAGUUGGAAUCGCUAGUAAUCGUGGAUCAGCAUGCCACGGUGAAUACGUUCCCGGGCCUU
rnacentral:rRNA from 1 species